GUGCCAUGAUGUCAAUUGUCAACACAUCAUUCUGAAGAAGGAUUGUGUGGAGCCCUUCUGGGACUGAGCACC
ensembl:snoRNA SNORD63 Small nucleolar RNA SNORD63